rnacentral:lncRNA from 1 species
CCGAGUGUAUGUGGGUUGAAUGUUUGGGUGUGGUGUGUGUGUGUGUCCAUGUGGGUGUGUGCGUGUAUGGUGAGUGCGUGUGAGUGUGUAUGGUGCACGUGUGUAUGUGUGUGUUGUGCCGUGUGUGUGUGUGUUGUGUCGUGCAUGUGCAUGUGCUAGCGUGUGUAUGUGUGUUUUGUGUGGGUUUGGGCUCAAGCCCAAUCCACCCAUUUUGUUCUUAAACUAUUCAAACCCAAAACCCAAUAGGUCCUAGCCCUAUUUAACCUAAACCUAAACCCUAAUCUGGAUCCAAACCCAAAACCCAUUUCCAUUUCUUGAAAUUCUAUAGUUGGGUAGUUUGAUACAUUGUACAAUUUUGUGCUUAGGUGAAGUUGCUAGUGGGGAUUUCCCUAAUCCUCUUCCGCACAAUUCUGCUGCUACGGAGUACUGUAAGUGGACCCCUUCUAAAAUUUACAUAAUUUUAUAGUUUAUUUGCAUAAAUGAAAUGCAUGCCUUACGAGUUUAUGAACUGAUUUUAUGUUAAGCAUGUUUAUGGAAUAUGUUGUUUAUCGUCUCGUUUUUUGUGAGGAAUUAAUUAUUAGCCUAUAUUAAGCUAUAGUUUGAUAUAUCGUAUUUUCUAUAAAAACCAUGAACUGGUAGACGAUCUGAUGGAUGACAAUAGGAUGCUAGAACAUAUUUUAGAAACCCCUCUUUAUAGUAUAGACGAUGGAUGACUUUAUACUAUGAAGUGGUUAUUUAUGAGC